rnacentral:rRNA from 1 species
CCCUAACCCAUGCAAGUCGAAGCGGUAGCACAGAGAGCUUGCUCUCGGGUGACGAGCGGCGGACGGGUGAGUAAUGUCUGGGAAACUGCCUGAUGGAGGGGGAUAACUACUGGAAACGGUAGCUAAUACCGCAUAAUGUCGCAAGACCAAAGAGGGGGACCUUCGGGCCUCUUGCCAUCAGAUGUGCCCAGAUGGGAUUAGCUAGUAGGUGGGGUAACGGCUCACCUAGGCGACGAUCCCUAGCUGGUCUGAGAGGAUGACCAGCCACACUGGAACUGAGACACGGUCCAGACUCCUACGGGAGGCAGCAGUGGGGAAUAUUGCACAAUGGGCGCAAGCCUGAUGCAGCCAUGCCGCGUGUAUGAAGAAGGCCUUCGGGUUGUAAAGUACUUUCAGCGGGGAGGAAGGUGUUGAGGUUAAUAACCUCAGCAAUUGACGUUACCCGCAGAAGAAGCACCGGCUAACUCCGUGCCAGCAGCCGCGGUAAUACGGAGGGUGCAAGCGUUAAUCGGAAUUACUGGGCGUAAAGCGCACGCAGGCGGUCUGUCAAGUCGGAUGUGAAAUCCCCGGGCUCAACCUGGGAACUGCAUUCGAAACUGGCAGGCUAGAGUCUUGUAGAGGGGGGUAGAAUUCCAGGUGUAGCGGUGAAAUGCGUAGAGAUCUGGAGGAAUACCGGUGGCGAAGGCGGCCCCCUGGACAAAGACUGACGCUCAGGUGCGAAAGCGUGGGGAGCAAACAGGAUUAGAUACU